ACUUGGAGGAACCACCAUGUGAAGACCUGGUGAGAAGGCUGCUGCCUGCCAGGCAAGGGGAGAGCUUCAUCCCAGACCCCUGGCCGGCACCCCAAGAACCAUGAGAAGAAACACAUUUCUGCGAACUGCUCCCGAGCCUGGUUGUUCUUCGCCGUCAGGUUGCCAAGGAUGAAGACGAUCCGCACCACCAGAUCCUGCAGGGAAGGGGAGCCGGUUAGAGGGCCGAGGAGCUGAGGCCAGUUGCUGGAAGUAGUACAGCCUGUUCACUUAUUCACGGUUUGAUUACUCGAAGAGGGGGGCGCACCUGGCGCCCACGAACUUGUCUAGAGUUUGAUUCUCAAGAUCGGUGCAAAUUGAUGGAGGAGAUUAAUAAGCACUUGGCAGCAGUGAGAGGCUACGAACUGAGUGAUGCUAUUAGCGAGGGCAUUAACUUCAGAUCCUGCGUCUGAAUCCUGGUUGGCCUCUUUUCUUUUCUUUUUAACCCCUCAGACAACAAUUAGUCGAGUGGGAUAGGAUUACUGAAAACGUGUCAUGUAAAUCUAAGUAGUGACACCAACAGGUUGCUACAACACCCAAAUCUUUCCCUAGAAGUUCACCUCCUGCUGAAGGCGCAGUGUUUCUGAAAAUCGACUGUUCGGCACGACGGCUGAUCACCCUGUGUUGCAGCGCGCUUUCCCAACCUGGGCCCCACAGACUUUGGGGGCAGGAUAAUCUUUGCUGUGGGGGGGGGGGCUAGAUUUAGCAGCAGUAUUCCUGGCUCUUACUAUAGAUGCCAGUAGCACCUCCCCAGACGUCACAACCAAGAAGGUCUAACCAUCUUUUUUAAGUAGGCUUCACGCCCAAUAUGGGGCUUGAACCCAUGACCCUGAGAUCAAGGAUCGCGUGCAACUGAGCCAGCCUGGCAGCCCACAACCAAAAAGGUUUGAAUGUCCCCUGGGGACAGAAUCACUGUGUUUGACAAAUAUGCCACUUUAAAGCAGUGUUUUUCCUUCUUGACUAGGGUAGUGGUUACGUGGGCGAUGCCUUUACCGCUAUUGGCUGAGGUGCACGUGUGUGCUUUACGCACUUUUCUGCAUAUACGCUCUAUUUCACAUUAAAUAAAUGUUUCGAAAAAUCCCAAACUGAGAACAAUUUACAAGUAAACAGGACACAAAAACAAUUACAUUCUUAAUUCUAUAACAGACAAAUGAGAACACUGGCCUUCCCCAUACCCACGGACGGUGAGGAGAUUCCUUAGGGAGGAAGAGACUUUAAAGAGACACUCACUCAGGGGCUGUGAGUGACCUGGGUGCUAACUCUCACUGUGCCGGCUGUGCAAUUUGACAGACAAGAAAUGGGUUCUUAGAACCUGCCUGGUCAAACAACGAGCAAGGAGUGAGUCAGGAUUUGAAUCCAGGAUCCCCCUGACCUGGAGUGCUUUCUAGAGCCAAGCCUCCCACAUGGCCCCUGGUGCAAGGAUCUCCUUUGUCUUGCCUUUUGCAGAGCAGCUAAGGAAUUAUCUCCUUUUAAAAUGCAAAUAUGUGGGGCUCCUGGGCGGCUCAGUGGGUUCAGCCUCUGCUCUUGAUUUCAGCUCAGGUCAUGAUCUCAGGGUCGUGAGUUCGAGCCUCGAGUCGGGCUCUGCACUCAAGCUGGUCCCUCUCCCUCUGCUCCUCCCCGACUCAUGCACAAACUCUCCCUCUCAAAUAAAUAAAAUCUUUUAAUAUAUAGUAAAGUAAAAAAUAAAAUAAAAUGCAAACAGGUCACCAGGAGGGAUUCCCAAGAAACCUGGCUCUGUGUAUCAGACCUGCAAUAGUCAGCAGGCUUACCCAACGAGGGCAGAGGCCUGGGCCUGUUUUAAUCGGGGAGCCAGGUCUAGGUGGGGUGCAGGCAGCACAGGGACCACGCGUGGCAGAGAGCCGAAGGUCACAGACAGAGGACAAGCUUCUGGAUUUGCCCGUGGCUGCUCGGCCAACACCAACUUGUUCCUGCUUGUUCUUGAAAGACUUUUCCCUGGCACUGGCCGAGCAGAAGCGAGGCCGCGGCUUGUGCAGCUGGGAACCAUUUGUCAACAUUAAGAAAGUCGGAGGCUAACACGCCAGCAAGAACUGGAGCUGGUCCAGGAGAGAGUUCACAUUGGGAAAAAAAAAAAAGAAAAAACCCUCAGCUCAGUGAGCAACCGAUGGUAGCCGGUCAUCCCAGUUGGGAGAAGCCGCUCCUGGGCUGCGGGAGCCCGAAUGCCAGGCGUCGGUGACUGAGGUCACCUCCCCCAUAUGCUCAACUGUAGCCAUGUUGACAUUUCUGGACUUCGCACUGUUCCCUAGAUUGCUCUCCUCUCCCAUCUCCCCGGAGGCUCGUGGGAAAAAUAGCAGAUAGGGGAGGAAAUAUUCUAAUUCCCCCAGCAGCCGUCAGCCCUGGUGUGCUACCUGGGUUGAAACAGAAUUUCCCCCUUGAUGGACCAUGGAAGUGGCAGGAAGUUACCUGCAAAACUCCUCACCAGCUUGAUAAAAUCACUUAAAAAGACUUUUUCAGGUGAUACUUUCAACAAGCUUUAUAAUGAGUGUCCCCAGCUAAUUGCAAGCAAAGAAUCCCAAAAGGUGACAACAUAACUUGAAAUUAAACAGAAAUGUUUUCUUUCACCCCCAUUUGAAAAUUCUAGUGUGAAGAUGUCUUUUCCAGUUAUAGUUAUCUAAGUCACCCAUGAUCAAAACAUCAAAACAAAAAGAAUAAUGACGGCAAAAUAAAUUCACAA